rnacentral:rRNA from 1 species
GGACGAACGCUGGCGGCGUGCCUAACACAUGCAAGUCGAGCGAAGUGAUUGGAGUGAAGUCUUCGGAUGGAACAAAGAAUCAUCUUAGCGGCGGACGGGUGAGUAACGCGUGAGAAACCUGCCUUUCACAAAGGGAUAGCCUCGGGAAACUGGGAUUAAUACCUUAUGAUACUCCUAGAUCGCAUGAUCUGGAAGUUAAAGCGCAAAGCGGUGAAAGAUGGUCUCGCGUCCUAUUAGCUAGUUGGUGAGGUAACGGCUCACCAAGGCUGCGAUAGGUAGCCGGCCUGAGAGGGUGAACGGCCACACUGGAACUGAGACACGGUCCAGACUCCUACGGGAGGCAGCAGUGGGGAAUAUUGCACAAUGGAGGAAACUCUGAUGCAGCGACGCCGCGUGAAUGAUGAAGGCCUUCGGGUCGUAAAGUUCUGUCCUUGGGGAAGAUAAUGACGGUACCCAAGGAGGAAGCCCCGGCUAACUACGUGCCAGCAGCAGC